UGUUUAUUCCUCUCAAAAAUAGUAGGUAUAGCACUGAAUAUCUCGAGGGAGUAUGAAAAUAUUUAUCUCAGAUAUUUAAUCUCAAAAUAACUAUUUCUUAAAAUAAAUAAUCAGACUAUGUGCGAUAAGGUAGAUAGUCGAAAGGGAAACAGCCCAGAACAGUAAUUAAAGCUCCCCAAUUAAUAUUAAGUGAA
rnacentral:rRNA from 1 species